AUGUGGCUUAGUGGUAGAGUGCUUGCCUAGCAUGCAUGAAGCCCUGGGUUCAAUUCCUCAGUAU
rnacentral:tRNA from 1 species